rnacentral:sRNA from 1 species
CUCGCUCCGGCUCCCCUCGCCGUCCUGGACACGGCGGAGUGCGGAGCCGCCCGUAAGCUCUAGGGCCCGUGCAGGCCACACCAUGAACACCUCCCCAGGCACGGUGGGCAGUGACCCGGUCAUCCUGGCCACUGCAGGCUACGACCACACCGUGCGCUUCUGGCAGGCCCACAGCGGCAUCUGCACCCGGACGGUGCAGCACCAGGACUCCCAGGUGAAUGCCUUGGAGAUCACACCGGACCGCAGCAUGAUUGCUGCUGCAGGUUACCAGCACAUCCGCAUGUAUGAUCUCAACUCCAAUAACCCUAACCCCAUCAUCAGCUACGACGGCGUCAACAAGAACAUCGCGUCUGUGGGCUUCCACGAAGACGGCCGCUGGAUGUACACGGGCGGCGAGGACUGCACAGCCAGGAUCUGGGACCUCAGGUGUGGUGGGGAGGGGGCCUGCUGCCCGGGGCUGGGGUGGGCUGCUCUGGGAGACCGUUUUAGGUUGGGUUCUCUUCAAGCAGAGGCUGAGACAGGGAGCUUCCUGCGGGCGACUUACU